rnacentral:rRNA from 1 species
AUGUCAACGUCCGAGGUUUUGUCUGCCCUGCGCGCCGCCGGCCUGCAGCCAAUCACGGCUUCCACCGCUCAUGCGACGCAGGAGACUGGCUUCCACGUCUUCAGAAUCCAAGGAUUCACGAAGAAGGUGGCCAAUGGCGCGUCGGUCGUGUCAGAACAGUUCAGCGUUGGCGGCCACGACUGGCGUAUCAAGUGCUUCCCGAACGGCAGACUAGAAGAGGACGAGGGCCAUAUCUCGCUCUUCCUCAUGCAUGACAGCCACGCCAAGACCGGCGACGCCACCGCAACUUACAAGAUAAGCAUACUCGACAAGGCCUGGAAGCCGUCGUCGUCGUGCACUUUUAACUCUUCAGAAGGACACCGCUUCACGGGCACUGGUCAUGGCUACCCAAAAUUCAUGAAGCUCAAAGAUUUGGACAAGGAGCAGCACCUCAAGGAUGACUGCCUGUCUGUCCUCUGCGACGUCUCGGUCCACUACACCCAUGAGCCUACUGCCGUCGCGCCCAUCACGUCAACACCCGGGCUCUUGUGCGCCAUUCACGCCGAGACCCGUCAGCAGAUCACCGCCUCCACCGUCACCGCGAGGCAGGCGACGGGCUCCCACAUCUUCAGGAUUGAAGGGUUCUCGCGAGUAAGGGAGAUGGUGGCCAAUGGCUCCGCCGUCACAUCAAGACGAUUCAGUGUCGGCGGCCAUGACUGGCGAAUCCAGUGCUACCCAAACGGCGACGAGAAAAAGUCCGAGGGCUGUAUCUCCCUCUACCUCAUCCGGCACGGUAAGAUCGGCCACGCCACAGCAACUUUCAAGAUGAGCAUACUCGACAUGGGGCUCAAGCCAUCGUGCACUAAAAUCUCGCCACAAGGCCUCCGCUUCACAAACUAUUGGGGCCUCCUCGUGUGCGAUUAUGGGGGCUGGGAAGAAUUCAUUAACCGCGAAGAUCUGGACAAGGAGAAGCACCUCAAGGACGAUUGUCUGUCCAUCCUUUGCGAUGUCACCGUUGACCUCGGACUUCACACUACCGAUUACGAUGGUGAGAUUGUUGUGGCCGAGGAACCCAUAGUGACGCGGAAAUUGGACUUGAACAAGCAGGCAGGCGUAAAGACUAAGAUGCAGGCCCUAUUAAGCCACCUCAAGCCUUCACGUCACUUCCUUCGGAUCCUGGUGUACACAAAGCUUGACCUUUUGAACAGGGACCCUGAAGAAUCUAUAUGUAUUGUGAACAGCCCAAAACAAGUACAGUGUUUCUACUCCAAAUUAAAGUACACAGAUCAGCCCAUGUUGCCUCGAUGGACAUAUACUGCUGUAAGCAGUCAACAGAUUGUUGAGCCCAACAUCAACAAGUAUACAACAUAUGCUGAGUGUGGUUUUGUGUAG